GGGAGCUUAGAUGUGGAAGCUCUUUGGAAACCAAGAAACACUCUGAAAAUGAAAAGGAUACCAACUUCAUCUCUCUUUAAGAAUACAAUAUUAGUUUAAAAGAUUGUUCAACUUAAAGCAAUCUUGUAGAGAUUGUCACCCAUGAUUGAUGCUGGCAUAAGAAUGUUUAUCACAGCAUGGCAUAUAUUGGAAGUUUAGUAAAUGAAGAUACAUCCAAUCUGACAUUCUAUUCACAACCACAAAGAGAUAAUGUAGAAACAUAUUUAGUAAUGUGAGAAAAUACUAAAUAUUAAGUGAAAAAGGUGGAAGAGUAAACUGUUCCUGUUUCUCCAUCUUGACAGGAAGCAGAAGUUCUCCUUAGCUGAUUUUUCUUCUUGCCUUAUACUGGGUUCUUUAACACCAGAACAAAAAUAAAUAAAUAAAAGAAUCUUCCAGAAAUUCAUGAAGAGACUUCAGGUCAGGAAAGCCUGAACUUUCUCAUCCAACACCCGUUCAAGUCGGAGGAUGCUGAUUAAUUCAUGAUGGAAAGGUAUCAAUUUCACAGCCCAGACCUCUACAUUCUUGAAAUGCUCUUCUCAUGGGAGACAUUAAAUAAGCUUUGAAUUAACUGAGACCUCUGUGGAUUCUAUAACUCAAAGACCCAGGCUGACGGCUGGUGGAAUAGCUACCAUCUCAAACAUGGCGUGAUGCUGCAUCAGAGAGAAAAAUAAGCUCUUGCAUUGACAAUGAAAUGUCUACCCUGUAGUGACUUGUGCUUACUUCCACUCACAAGUGAUUGCCCAGAGCUACUUACCUGGCUCCAAUCUACCACUGGGUGUGUACUUGCAAUCUACCAUGUACCUAGAAGAUGAGAGAAACAAAUU
rnacentral:lncRNA from 1 species